UUUCUUUCUAUUACUCCUGCAAGUAAGCACAUUUUAUCAGUUUUCGGAAAUACCUUUAAAUAUUUUUGAGCUAAAGCUAAAGUAAAAGAAUGCAAAUAAGUAGUCAAAAUCUCUACUUAUCACGUGUUAAAUGACGUGGCACUCCAAGCCAAACAGAAGGUCCAAUAGGAUCAUGCCACGUGUCACAAUAACAAGGCAUGCCAAGUCAAAUUAAAAGGCCAAUGAAAUCGCGCCACAUGUGCAAGUGACAUAUUCUGGCCAAACAAAUUCGGCCAUGUCACGCUUCAAUCUGAUUGGUUGGAAAGAGUUUGUUCUCACCACAACUCUUCCCUCUCACAACUAUAAAUAGGGGUUUUCAUAACUCAGAAAAGGGACAAGAAGUUAUAACAAGGAGCAAGAAAGAGCUCAUGGAUCACACGCUGCAAAUUUCUCCGCAAAUUUCAAGCUUCAAGCAAUCAAGUUCAAGUUCAAGAAUUCAAGUUCAAGCUCAAGAACGAAAAACAAAUCAACAUUCAAGGAGUACGAGUUCAAAUCAAAGUUCGUACUAGUUGAAUUCAAGAUCGUCGUUCGUGACAACAAAUAUAGAUUCAAGAUCAAGCUCAAAUGCCUUUGAAUUUAUUUACUAUUGGAAGGAAGAAUCAGAACAUUCAUAGAGAUUGUAACACUCAUAUUACUUAAAAUCAAAUAUUACAAUUAUUGCAAUAUUUUUCGGUCUUGAUUUUAUUUUCUUGAUGUAAUUUAUUGUCUACAGUUAUGUUAGUUAAAUUAAAAUUGACGAUACACUUUAGUCUAUGCUGUCUAAAUAAGAGCUUUCCUGUGAGUUCGAUUUAAAUCAGAGGCGGAGCCAGAUGGGUUCUGAAAUUGUUAUCGAACUCAUUGCUUGUUUAGUUACUGAGUUCGCAAUUAAAUAAUUAUACGUAUUUAAUAAGUUUUUAAUACAAAUACAAGGUUUAAGCAAAAGUUAUUGGAUUCGCCUGAACCCGUACCUACUUAUCUAGCUCCGCCUCUGAUUUAAAUAUGUAUCUCAUUACAAAAUAUUCAACAUAUUUUAUAGAUGUUAAUUAUAACUUAUAACGAACUACUUACAUAAAAUAAUUUCACUACCAUAUAUAAUUCCUACGUAAUAGGCUUAAAAUGUGAUAUUUAUAACUAAAGUUUAAGUGUGCAAUUGAAAAUUCGGGACAAGUACGAGAGGUAUUAUGUAUAUCCCCAAAAGAAAUCUGAAUCUAAAUUAAAUCCUUAAAAGAUGUGUGCCAAAAUAACAUAUGGUCAAAACAAGAACAAAAGUUCUUGGACACAUGAUGGAUCUUUGAAGUAUUAUUUUUGUAUAUCUAUGACUAAAUUUGUCUACAUUAGAAUUAUUCGUUAAUGGUUGAUUCAAUUUGAUAAACUCGCCCUCGAAAACAAGAAGUUCUGGUCCGAAAUAGAUUACAAUAUCAAUCAUUUGAUGAGUACCCUAAAAUUUGAGGUUUUCUCUUAAUAGCAUGAAAAAUGAGUGGAUAGUCAACAUGGGCACCACUACUUGCCUUUAUCUCUUUGCUCUUUCUCCUUCUUAGUCAACAUGGGCACCACUACUUGCUUUGAUCCCUUUGCUUUCUCCUUCUUAGUCAAUCUUUUAAGGAGGGCAGAAAGGAGAAACAAUAUUACCCUUAUUAUGCAACUUGCAAUUUGCAAAGACAACUCUUGGCAUUUAAUAGAUACUGACAAUUUCUCAACUUAUUUUAAGAUAAUUAUGUUUGAUACAAAACCCCGUGAACUGUACUGCUGAAAUUAAGCAUGUGGUUUGAAUAGCAAAUUUAAGGUAUAUAUAAUGAUAGUUUAAAGGGUUUUUAUAUAAUCGGGGUAGCUUAACCUAUUAUAACUUGCUAGUUAUCAUUUUUAUUAUGUUGUCAAUCAAUAUUUAACAUGAAUAUUUUCUUAUAGUUACUUUAUUAAUAACUUGAUUGUGUAAUAUUUUUUGCAUUAUUAAUAUAUAUUUAUAAACUCUUGAAAGGCUAAGGCAAGACAUGGGCGGAUCUAGUAACCAGAGGUUCAUUUGAACCCAUAACUUUUAGUCUAGACAUGAGUUUAUGUGUAAAAUCCACUAAAAUUGACAAAAAAAUUAAACUAUGAACUCAUAAAUCAAAUAAAAUAAUAGAUUCAGCGGUUAAAAUAUGAAUCUUGAACACAUAAAAUUAAAAUUAUGAAUCCGCUCCAACAAGAAGACGAGGUCUAUUCUAUAUAAAGGCAGCAGAGAAAGCAUACUUGAUAUUCUAAGAUAGAAACACGUUUUUUCUUUCUCAAUCCAUUCUUAAAUAUUUUAGCAUAACAAGAAUAAAGGGGUCAUCUAUUUUUCACACUCAUGGCAAUUUCUCAUGUGGAUGAAAAUGGAUAUAAUGAUGGAUAUACAAAAGAUGGAACAGUGGAUCUCAAAGGCAAUCCUAUUCUUAGAUCCAAGAGAGGUGGAUGGAAAGCUUGUUCCUUCAUUGUUGGUAUGGUAUCUUAGCUCCCUCUCUUCCUCCUCCCCUCCCCCCCCCCCCCCCACAUCCCCCCAAAAAAGAAAACUUCCCCUACACUCCCAUAUUAAGAUAAUUGAGGUCGGCUAUAUAAAUUCUCACCGUUUAUAUUGCUUCAUCUGGCCCCUUUUCAGACCCGGCGUAAAUACGGAAUGCCUUGUGCAUCGCGCUGCCCUAUAUCGCUUCAUUAGUCAUGGCAAAACUUCAUGAAACAUUGAUGUCUAGUGUCUUUAAUUUCUUUAGCUUAUCCCUACAUAAAACUGCAGGAAUCAUCUUCACCACAAACCUUUUUCACUUGAUUAAUCUCUCUUUGUCAGUGAAGCAAUAUAUAUUGCUGUAUCCUAGCUAGUAGUUGUUGCUUUUACUCACAUGUUACAUCCUCUUUCGGAUGGGUUGGUUUGCUGUGAGUUAUCUUCCAAUAAUGCAAAUCCCAUGUUACUGUAUUAAAAUCUGUGUCCCACAAUGAGAAAGAAAACCUCGUUGAACUUUAACUAUAAUCGGUGUUAUCCUAUUGGUAAAUUCAAAAUUUAAAUUUUAUAGAUUUAAUCAUUAAGGCUAUUAAUAUUGAACUCAUUAUAUAUAUUAAUAAGUGCAUAUAAACUCGAUAUUCCGACGCUGCAUUAGCCUAUGAUGUUAGGUCCUUCAACUGGGGAUGCUUCCUGGUCCCCGUGGUAGUUACGUAUCUUUAGGUCCCUACUAUAUAUUGUAUUCAAUUUUCAAGAAAAGUUUCUUUUUAAUGUCAGCACUCAGCACUAUGACAGUUCUUUCCC
rnacentral:lncRNA from 1 species